rnacentral:lncRNA from 1 species
GAGUCCUCUGCCCUGGAUCGAGAGCAUGUCUCGUAGUAGCUUGGAGACUACAAAAGUUUCCCUGGCAGCAUGAAUGAUCUACCACAACGUGCUCUUGCCUUUCGGAGUUGCCCUCCAAUUUUUCCAGGCCCGAUUCUGUAAAUCAUUUCAUCUCGCGCAAAGACCCAGCUGGGAGCGUUGGUGAUCUCAAAGGGGAGGGUUAUUUAAAGCUCCAUUUAAGAAUCUAUCCUCCCUUCAACAGAUUAACGCAGCUCAAAUAUGUGACCAAACGUGUUUUUCUGUGCAUAUGCCAAUGCGCAGGUAGCUCUGGGGCCUUUGAGAGGAAGUAGGAUGUGCCUCUACACCGGGCGACUUUGGAAAAAGUGACUUCUCUGUGUAUUGACAACUAAUUUAUCAUUGGAAGCACGUAAGGUUUUACUCUAUGCAAGUGCUCAUCGGGUGGCUGGUGGUGGAGGGCGGGAUGAAGUGGGGAAAACUGAAAUGUUUUGAGAGAGACAAGUAAGCCUCAAAAGGUCAUUUAGACUGUCCUCUUGGCUUCUGUCAUCCCAAGAAGAUGGAAAUCUAUUGUGGUUUUCAAGGUAGAUUAAGGUUAAAUAGCUCACAGAAUUGGAAGAGUGUUUGGGGUCACUAUCUGAAGUCUUUUGCGUCAUAAUUUAUCCUCACUUGCCUUUAUUCCAACACUGAAAAAACUGGCUGAAGGCAGAUUGUAACGGAGAAGGUCCAAUAACCACGAGCUGGUGAAUGUUCCGUCAGAGAGGAGGCUUCUUUAACAUCUCUGAUCUUCUGUCACCUGUUGACAAAACAGUUGCCCGCAUGCAGGGACCAUAUGCUUUUGAAACGAACAUUCCUGAAUGUUGAAUGUUAGAAGUUAUCUUGCUGGUUUUUGGAGUAAAGGCAGGACUGCCUCCUGAUAACUCACUUGGAAUAGAAAACCAAACUUGCUUUUCAGAGUUAGAGCGCAUGCAGUUCAGUGAAGCAAUGAGUUUAACAAAAAUGUAACAAAACAUUUCUGUUGAAACUUUUUUCCUUAAGAUAGGAAACUCCAUCCAGCGACAAUCCAGGAAUGGAAUUUUGUAAAUUGUUUAGUAGAGUUAUGAUGACAAAAGCCUCUCACAAGAUGAUGUAAGCAGAUGAGAGUGGGAGGGAGAAAGGAAGAGCUGAUAACCUGUUCAGCAUCACAAAAAUGUUAUUUUGUUUAAAUCUCACAAAAGCUUCUCUCCUUUUCACAGAUGAGGAAACAGACACUGAGAGAUGUGAGAGCAAACCUUUCCAAGGUACAAUUAGUCUGUGCCUGAGCUUGUAAAGUUUGAAAGCCGUGAUUCCUUUACAAGCUCAGGCACAGAUUAUUUGAAGGUGCUCCUUCAAUGCACCAGGCUGCCUCGCCUACUGCCUACGAGAAAGCAUCGUGGAGGGCACCCCAUCUGCCUCUUUGCAGUGACUCUCAGGGGUGAGACAGAGCUGCCUCAUGACCAAGGCAAUACUGUCACACCGGGGAGAGGAAGUAGGAAGUAGGAAGUAGGAGGUAGACAGGGACUUCCGUUAGGCUGUUCGGGGCCACUAUUCCAGCUCAGCUGUUCUCUGGCUGCCUGACUUGGGGCAAAUUACUGAAACUCUUUAUAUCGCAGUUAGACCCAAUCUGUAUAAAAAGGGAGUAAUACUCCUGCCCAACUCAUAGGGUUUUGUGAGUAAUUAAAUGAAAUGGAAAAUGCUUCACCCAGUGUCUGGAAAAAAAAAAUGCUCACCAAGUCUAUAUAGUUUCUGAUUCUAUUUGGAGCUUACAUUACGUAUAGUUAUUAAUUUCUUUAUCAUGAAACCACCCACAGUGAAACAUGGAGAUUCUUAUGAAAGGCAAAAGUCAACGCUUGUGAGAGCGAUUAGAUAUACCAAAGAAGCAGCAGAAAAUCCUAGAGAGCAUCAUAAAAUGGCUGGCCGUACUUGUUUUCCAAGCAAAAUAGAAAUUCAAAAUUAAGGAGCAAGGCUAGAACAAAGGUGAAAAUUAUAAGGAAUUACAGGGAAGGCCAGUUCCCCGUAAUAACCAGUAACCCAAGAGCCAUUAAGGAGAAGGAACCAGACUAAUGCUUUUGUUAUAGGUAAUUCCAUCAGUGCCAUUACCACCCGUGUAGUUUCUAAAAAGGCGAAUUUAAAAAAAAGACUCAAUUUUGUUAAAAAUUAGGUGUAGUAUAGCCUCCAAAGUGAGCUAUGAAAUACUGCCCUAAGCCAGAAAAAAUGUUAGCCAUCUUGCAAGGGUAUUCUUUAAAUUAAAAAAAAAAUUUUUUUUUUUAAUCUUUAUUUAUUUUUGAGAGAGAGACAGUGUGUGAGCAGGGGAGGAGCAGAGAGAGAGGGAGACACAAAAUCUGAAGCAGGCUCCAGGCUGUGAGCUGUCAACACAGAGCCUGGCACAGGGCUCGAACUCACGAACCGUGAGAUCAUGACCUGAGCCGAAGUCGGAAACCUAACUGACUAAGUCACCCAGGUGCCCCAUGGGUAUUCUUUAAAAAAAAAAUUUUUUUUUUUACAUUUAUUUAUUUUUGAGAGACAGAGCACAAGUGGGGGAGGGGCAGAGAGAGAAGGAGACACAGAAUCCGAAGCAGGCUCCAGGCUCUGAGCAAGCAGUCAGCACAGAGCCUGAUGCGGGGCUCGAACCCAUGAACCGUGAGAUCAUGACCUGAGCCAAAGUCGGACGCUCAACUGACUGAGCCACCCAGGUGCCCCUCCCUAUGGGUAUUCUCAAAAAAAAAAAAAAAAAAAAAUUAAAUAAGUCAGUUUCUUCUUAUUUAUUUAUUUUUACAUUGGACAUUUUGAAUUUUCCAUUAUGUGAAGGGUCUAAAGUCUUUUGCCAAGAGCAAUGAGAUUUGUGGGUAGGAAAAAAAAAGCUCACAAAACACCCCUUUGUCUAUCAAUUCCAUUAAUUUCUAUACAAUUAGAAUACGUAUUAGUUUUCCCUGCACCAAUAGAAAACACGCUGGUGGGGGGAAUCCAUUCUGGAUAUGACAAAACAGGACUUUGUCAAACAACUCAGACAAGGUAAAAUUUCUCCUUAAAACAGAAGCUUUUUUUUUUUUUUCCUCCUAGAUUUUCCUUAAGGGGGUUGAGCUUCUGAUUAUUCCCUCUACAACCCUGCAUUUCGGGCCCAUUUUCUUCUGCAUUUCACCUUGGUGGUGAUAUCAUCCCUCUCUGUAUCAGGGGGAGGGAGGGAUUAAUGAAAAUAAAGGUCAGCCCUUCCCUAUCUCCUUUGGGGCCAUGUCGUCUUAGUUUUGAUCAUUUCCCCCAAAUUAAGAUUUCUGUAUAAACCCCUCAUGUGUGUGUUUGGCUGGCAGUUUUAUGGCUGACCAAAUUUUGCACUGGCCAGUGUUCUGGUUGGCUGAAUGUUUACACAGGCUGUUAAUCAGAUGGGGAGGGAGGAGUGGAUGUGGGGACUGUCUGUGAGCCGGAGUGGUCCUGUUUGCUGUCGUGUGCAAGGGCCUGCACUUUGUUACUACAAAUUACAUAAUGACAUGUUACAUUUCAAAGUGUAUUUUUACUUCAGGGAAAAUUAAACCAAUAAACAAACAACUCUGGUGGAAAAAAAAAAAAGGAAAAAAAAUGAGAUCCCUGGUUUCCAGAUCUUCCUCUUCCAAAAGGUUCUUAAUUAAAUUGUAGCUAUAAACAAAUCUUUGUUUUAUUGAAAAGAGAGCAAUUGCAUAUAAAAGCUAUUUUUGAAAAUUAGGAUUCGAGCGUUUGCUGGACUAGGGUCUGGCCCAUGUUAUGUGUUUUAUGAUCUGUCCAAAAUGAAAAGGCAGGCUCGUGUAGUGAUGGUAGGUUUUCUAUUUUUGAUUGCUAAUCCUUCUCGAAUGUUGCUCCUGCCCUGCUUGAAAGGAGUAUGUAAACACAGGAAUUCUCCUAGUUUUUCCAGGUACUGAUUCAAGCAAAGCUGCUUAGCGUAAGGAUGAACUUGUCCACUCUGGAUUCUUGGUCACGCGGGAAAUCAGGUGUAUUCAGCAGCACACUAUCUACAUUUUAGCAACUUUGAAGCAGUUAAAAAAAAAAAAAAUCAACCCCUCUAAAUCAACUUCCAAGCCUUUCACUCACACCUACAAAUUCAAGAUGAGUUUUUUUUUUCUGUAAGCUGUUGAAAUCAGAAUGUGCCCUGGAUCCAAGGUUAUGGUGAUAGCCCUUCUGGGUAAUAGUCAUGUGCAUACGUGGUUCAAUUCUGCAUUUAUAGGUUCCCCACCGCCACCGCCCCGCCCCGCUACCUGAAAGUAGCACGUUCCUAUGAAACCCUUUAUAAGCUGAAAUGGCAUAAAGCGAAUAAGCAAUUACCAUUAAUUUAUAUGAAAAAUUUUUUGAGCAUUCCCAGACCCAAAAUAUAACCUCUCUUAGGCUUUUCUGGUACCUUGGGACACAUCUUGCUAACUAUACACAAAAUAAAUCAAGAGAAAGCACAGAUGCUCACAGACACAGUUCAAAGCUGUGGCGGCUUGCUGCUGAGAUGCUGAGUGUGCUUCUCAGGAAGGAGUUUGGUGGGACCGUUCUCGCUGCUGGGGGUGCACGCCGCCUCUGUUUCUAGCUCCCUGCAAAACCAGCACUGAAUGCUAUUUUUGCUCCCCUCCCGCCUUUUUUAAAAAAUAAAAGUGAAAAUCCUCUUUGGAUUUUUUCAGUUAGUGACGACAGGUACUAAUGUAGGUCUUUUGUUAAAGUAACGUAGUGUAAUGUAAACUUUCGAAAAGUGGGGGGUACUUGCAUGUGCUGGUUCCGACACUUUUUUUUCAGAAUAAACUACGUUAUCAAAAGAGAAUGUGUCCUCACUGUCUUUCCGCCGGUUAUGUGGAGUACUGAGAAUAAAGACACGUAUUAAACUGCAUGGUAAGUGAAUUAUUUCACCAAAUCAAUCUUGCCCACAUCUGCUGUUAUCCGAACCAUCUGACCCGGAAUUCACUGGGUUUGUUCAGGUGUUUGGCUGCUACUAGGAAUUGCCACAGCCCGGUCAGUGGCUGCAUGAAUUGUCCCUUUUAUAUUUUAACCAUAUUCCACGAGGCUUACAUUUCUUAGGCGAAAUUACGAUGUGAUUUAGGACAAUUUAUCAGUACAAUCCACAUGAGAAAUCACAAGAGCAGCUGAGAAGAACUGUCUACAUCUUCCUAUUGAGUUUGUUUAUUCUUAAACUCAGGAUGUUUAAAAAGAGAACUUUUCUCCUCAAAUCUUAGAGACAAUAAUGGGGUUUUGAACCUUACAAUUAAAAUUUCAGAUUUUUCAGUGACUGAAAAAACUUAAGAAGAAGAAAGGAUAGCAAAAUAAAGGGCAGAUACAUAGUGUAGGUUUUUGUUUUUGUUUUUGUUUUUUGAUAAAAGGAAACCAUUUUAGGCAAUGCUAUUUGGUAACAGUAGCCAUGUAAAUGCGCGGCACCCUGUUUUAUUUUGUGGCCAAAAAAAUACACUUUCCUCUGUCUCAUCUUGGAUCCUUGACAGUUCCAUGUGAAUAAUCAAUUUAGAUUAAUACUUAUGAAGGUUCUCAACCCCUGAACCAGACCGACCAUCGGCCAUUCAAGUAGUUUUGUUUUUGACUUCAGGCGUCUUAGCGCGAGGACUGCUGUCUGGGGGCAUUCUACUGGGGUUUGGCCUUGACUUUAGAGCUGCAGAAAAGAGCAGAUUUUUCACUACUGUCACCAAACAGCCAAGGGAAGUGAAGAGUCAGAUAUUAAUCCAGGGCUUUCAUCCUGUGAAUGACUAAUCCAGUAAGAAAGAAGAUUUUGAGCCAAGCAGUAAUCUAUCAAUGGACCAAUAAUCCACAGUGUGCCUGUGAAUGGGUUAGAUGCUUUCAUCUUGGUUUUUGGCUUAGCUAGCAUUUGACGUGGUAGAUGGGAGGGAAAGUCACAUCAUAGCUUGUUGAAUGAAUGAGUGAAAAUGGGUAAUGUAACAAUAAUAAUAAUAAUGAGGUCCUUUCCUCUCAUUUUUUGAUAGGACGCCAUUAAUUUACCCAUGGUGACAACUACUCUCUUCUGCCUAUUUUGCCUUCCAUGUCAUGGUUUGCAUCAAAGCUCCAGGGGAAGCUCACCAUCAGCACCACAGAUACCCUGCACAAAGCCAGACACGGGAAAGAGAGAGGCUUAAGGUAGAAGGAAGGGUGAAAGUUCAACUUUCAGAUGGCAGUUCGGCUGUAGACAACAGAAUGAGAAAGUGGUGGCCAUGUUGUUUCUUUCACCUUCAACUUUGAAUUUAAGUCCUGAAAUGUAUCUGCUUCUGUUUCUAUCAAUCUGUCUCUGGAUCACUGAUCAUCCAUCCACCUAUCUAUCUAUCAUUUAUCUCUUUCUCUCUCUCUCUAACAAAUCUAUCACCUGUCAUUUAUCAAUCAUCUAUCAUCUAUCAGCUAUUUCCUAUUUUUCUAUCUAUUCCUUCAUUUCUCUCCCUUUCUCCUUUUUUCCUUUUCAAAAAUAAAACUGGUACUAAUGCAGAAGUCUGAAAUUAGACCUUAAAAGCUAUCACUACUCUUAUUUUCAAGGGGUGGAGUUUUUUCUAACUUGUCUGGCUUUAACUUUCCUAUUCUCUUCUGAUAUUUGUCCUUAUUGCCACAUGUCAGAGAACCUCUUUGAAAAUUCUUCUGUUUAAUGGGGUUCAGGGAAAUAAAAAUCUACUUUAAAAAAGAUAAAAUGAAGCUGAUAUGGACUUGGUAAGUAAUUUCUGUGGAGGUCCAUUUUCAUAUGCAUGCAAAUCUGUCUAAAUGUUGUUUCAAAUUUUAAAUCAUGUGCACAUAAAACUCAUAAAACUCACUUAUGUGUUUUUAAAUGCUGUUUAAAAUUUUAAAGUAUAUACACACACACAGAGCUUAACAUGCAUUAUAAUAGCAUGCAACCUGAAAAAUAAGUUUGAAAACUGAACUGGCUUUGCAAUGCAGCAAUAGACUAAUCAAGUAUCAUUUUAUAUAAUGUAUAUGCCUCUGAGUGCAGCAUGCAAAUAUGCUAUUUAGAAUAUUUUCCUGAUUGAAUGAACAAGCCCACAGGUUCACCGUUUUAUAUUUGUUCUCUUAAAAACAUGAAACUCAUUUUGAAAAUGCUGGUUUAAAUGGGCGUUAUUAAGUCUUU